ensembl:lncRNA
AUGAGCUCAAACCCUAAGAAAGGCAGAGAUGCUAAUAUCUGGAACAAAAUGGUUAACCGUUAUCAAGGCAAAAGUCAAAAAGAAGAAGAAACACAUGCCAGCCAGGUCGACCAAGUUCGACCAGCCAGUUCGACCAAACUCCAUCCAAUGACUAGUGAAGUUGAAAAGCUUAAAAGAGAGCUUGAACACUGCAAAAAACAACUUGAACACUGCAAAAAACAACUUACAAUCAAUAAGAGACGGGUCGAGGAUCUAACUCAAGAAAACAAGGACGUUUGGCAGAAUAAUAAGAUGCUGUCUUUGGUCAUGGACGACAGGACAGUUAUCGCUGACAGGUUAAACUCCAUAACCGAUGACCAGGAAGCUCUCAUAAAGUUCCGCGCAGAGACGGAGAAAACUCUGGCUGAACUUAAACAGAAACAUGAAGAAGAGGUGGAGGUACUGCAAGGACUGCUCGAAACUGAAAGAGAAAAGUUUGCGCGUCAGGAAUUUCACAACAGCCAAGUUGUUGAAUUACUAUUGAAACGCCACAAAGAGCAGAAAGAUGAGAUGCAGCAAUUGUAUGACGAAAACACACAAAAACUCGAACACAAAGCUUAUGCUGCAGAAACAAAGUUAAAAACGGUCAUUGGAAUUUAUGAUCACUACAUAGAAAAGCUUGAAAGUAAGAUAGACGUUAGUAAAGGUGUGACUGUCAGUGCAGUUAAAGACCGCGAGGACGAACAUAAAUCCUCGCAGUAUUGGAUCGAGGGCCUUUAUGAACAAAAUACAAACCUAAGGGACGAAAACAAACUAAAGGAUGAAACUGUGAAAGAGUUAACAGACGAGAAAGAUGAAAUGAGCAAAGUCAUAGACGAACAAAGGGCCCAGCAUAUGGAGAUGAAACGCAAAUGUCAGAGAAAUAUUAGGGCUCUUGCAUUUGAAAAGAAAAUGAAGGCUGUGGUCGAAGAUGAACUUGUUUCUUUGAAAAAGAAAAAUGAAGACCUAAAAAAGGCCCUAAGCAAAGAAAAGGAAGAACACAGAAAGACAGCAAUGGACAGGCAUAAAGUGAAAACGGCACACAAUCAGGCACUGAGUGAAAAGGUGGUGCUGGAGGACAAAAUGCGCAACAUAAUAAAACAAAGGGAAAAAUUUAUACACAAGACGAAUUGGCUGGAGAAGAAAGAGCGCUACUUCCAAGAGGAGUUGUACCAGUGCGUUUUGUCCUUUGGAAAGGCAUUUCCGCAUGCAACUCACUUCCGAGAAAAAGAAAAGGUGGAAUUUAGGCAUAUGUUCCUCAACAUGAAAAAGAAAUACGUAGACGGUGUGGAAGGCAUCCCCUUUGUUGGAAUAACGAAGGAGAUUCUUGAGAAAGAGCUGAGCGGUCUACGUACCAGAUGCAAGGGUCUAGAGACAGCUUUACUAGAUAAAAAACGGGAGCUGGAAUCGUUUGAAAAGAAGUACAAUGAUAUGGUAAAGACUUUCGAACACGCUUUAUUCAAAGAAAGACAGGAGCUCAUUGGACCAAUGAACGAGAUUAUCAAAAAGGCUUACGAUGGAGAAAAAGAGAUAGGUCAUCUAAAAUCUAUAGUGAAAGACGUUCAACUCAAGCUUAAAUUAGAAAAACAGAAAGGAGAAAAGCUCGCAUUGUUGGUCCGUAGAAGUGAGAUGGGGAGAUGUUGUGGGGAGACUAAACCUCGUCCACCUCCAGUGCAAACUAAAUCUACUCAAGUGCUUCCAAAACACCCUGGCAGACAUGUAGGAAUGUCUUACCCAGUGUAUCCCCCUGUAGAGUCUCCAUCAACACCACGAUUCAUCAGUUCUGACGAUGGAUUACCACCAGUUGAUUGUUAA